rnacentral:rRNA from 1 species
UACGUAGGUGGCAAGCGUUGUCCGGAAUUAUUGGGCGUAAAGAGCUCGUAGGCGGUCUGUUGCGUCGGCUGUGAAAACCCGAGGCUCAACCUCGGGCCUGCAGCCGAUACGGGCAGACUAGAGUUCGGCAGGGGAGACUGGAAUUCCUGGUGUAGCGGUGAAAUGCGCAGAUAUCAGGAGGAACACCGGUGGCGAAGGCGGGUCUCUGGGCCGAUACUGACGCUGAGGAGCGAAAGCGUGGGGAGCGAACAGG